rnacentral:rRNA from 1 species
GACGAACGCUGGCGGCGUGCUUAACACAUGCAAGUCGAGCGGUAAGGCCCCUUCGGGGGUACACGAGCGGCGAACGGGUGAGUAACACGUGGGUGACCUGCCCUCAGCUCUGGGAUAAGCCUGGGAAACUGGGUCUAAUACCGGAUAUGACUCCAUGACGCAUGUCGUGGGGUGGAAAGCCUUGUGCGGCUGGGGAUGGGCCCGCGGCCUAUCAGCUUGUUGGUGGGGUGAUGGCCUACCAAGGCGACGACGGGUAGCCGGCCUGAGAGGGCGACCGGCCACACUGGGACUGAGACACGGCCCAGACUCCUACGGGAGGCAGCAGGUGGGGAAUCUUGCGCAAUGGGACGAAAGCCUGACGCAGCGACGCCGCGUGAGGGAUGACGG